GCAACUUUGCCGCCGGGUAAAGAUUAUUUUAGCGUUGGAUUUUCUAUCAAUAGGCCUUUGAAGAUAGAAAUAGCACCAAGGCUUUUUUAUU
rnacentral:ncRNA from 1 species